rnacentral:rRNA from 1 species
GACGAACGCUGGCGGCGUGCUUAACACAUGCAAGUCGAACGGUGAAAGCGGAGCUUGCUCCGCUGGAUCAGUGGCGAACGGGUGAGUAACACGUGGGCAACCUGCCCCUCACUUCGGGAUAACUCCGGGAAACCGGGGCUAAUACCGGAUAUGACCUCCUUGGGCAUCCUUGGAGGUGGAAAGUUUUUCGGUGAGGGAUGGGCCCGCGGCCUAUCAGCUUGUUGGUGAGGUAGUGGCUCACCAAGGCGACGACGGGUAGCCGGCCUGAGAGAGCGACCGGCCACACUGGGACUGAGACACGGCCCAGACUCCUACGGGAGGCAGCAGUGGGGAAUAUUGCGCAAUGGGCGGAAGCCUGACGCAGCAACGCCGCGUGCGGGAUGACGGCCUUCGGGUUGUAAACCGCUUUCAGCAGGGAAGAAGCCGCAAGGUGACGGUACCUGCAGAAGAAGCACCGGCUAACUACGUGCCAGCCGCCGCUGUAAGAC